GCUCCGGUAGCACAAUUGGUUAGUGCGUUGGACUUUUAACGCAAGUUGAAGUGAGUUCAUCCAAAGGUUGCGGGUUCGACCCCCGCCUGGAGCG
rnacentral:tRNA from 1 species